UUUAUGACGGCUGGUUGUUGAGGGCGGAAUCAUAGUUUAUCAAGCCAGCCUAUCAAGAGACUCUCUUCUGCUCUUCCUUACUUCCGCACUUUCAUUCAUUUCUGAACUUCUCAGAGUGGAAAGGAGUAUACGCGUAGAGCGAGUAAGUUGAAUGCAAGUUGCCGUAGGCAGUGUUUCAGAGACCCAAAGGCAUUCCAGACAAGUUCAACCAACACACAUCGAAUUUACAUACUCCACAGAAACAUCCAAACAUGAAUGGAUCGAUACUUCCAAUCUGCCUGGCUCUAUGUCUGGCUGGCUGGGCUGUAUCUGGCGCUUCUAUUGAAGCUCAGAAGACCUCUUCUGUCUGUUACCUCUGUAACAAAACUCAAUGCCAAAAUAUUGAGUCUGUUUAUGACCAUUUGUCGACUAAUUCGGCCCUGUGGUCACGAGGUGAAAUGGCUGAGCUGCCUCCCUGUCCCACAACCUCCCCUCCACCAUCUGGAAAAUGCUUGUUGUGUGUUAAGAGCCAGAAGGUCUACACUGCGUGUGACUCAGAGAUCAUCAAGCCAGCCUUUGAGGGCCAAGGCAGCUCCAUGCCUGUCAUCGAAGCCAAUUGCACUGGCAUUGUUUCAACUGAUCAGACGGACAGAGCUGGAGGUUCAGCUUGGAGUCCUGAUCCAAUUGCCCCAACAAUGACCCCUGAGGGCACUGGCAGGUUAUCCAAGGAAACAAGAUUCGCUAUUGUGUCAAUCCCAAUUGCCUUCUCCGUCAUCUUCAUACUCAUUGUUGUUUUGCGCAGAAGGACCAGAUCAAGUGUUGUCUGGUGUCCACAUCAGAUGUCCACUUCUGAAGUCCACUCAGAGCAGCACCAGACCCAGUUAAAGUUAUUAAAGAGAAAGGUUGAUAUUGUGUAAGACAAGGAAAAGAGGAAGUGAUGGACCUGAAUGUUGUCUACUUCCUGGCUAUGGUUUAACUUGAGGAAACAGUAAGCUCUGUUAGAAAGCCAGGUUGUUACAUUUUGAUAGCUUUUACUCUGCACUUUUGCAGCAGGGUACAUGAGUGUCUUGGGAUUCCUAGGGCCUGGAAGUAAAGUCAGGGAGAGAUCUCAGUGACAGACUUACACAGAGGGUCCUGCCAUUUUAAACCACAUACUUUUUGAUUCGCCAAGUUUGCGUGUUUUGCACGUCUAUAUGGUUGAUUGAAACAUAUGGAGUUAAUAAUUACGUUAUGUUUCAUUUAUAUUCAUUUAUGUUUAUUAUGUUUUUACCAUUGAUAGUGUUUGCAAGGUACUGUAAUUGUUUAUUAUGUUUUUACCAUUGAUAGUGUUUGCAAGGUACUGUAAUUGUUUAUUAUGUUUUUACCAUUGAUAGUGUUUGCAAGGUACUGUAAUUGUUUAUUAUGUUUUUACCAUUGAUAGUGUUUGCAAGGUACUGUAAUUGUUUAUUAUGUUUUUACCAUUGAUAGUGUUUGCAAGGUACUGUAAUUGUUUAUUAUGUUUUUACCAUUGAUAGUGUUUGCAAGGUACUGUAAUUGUUUAUUAUGUUUUUACCAUUGAUAGUGUUUGCAAGGUACUGUAAUUGUUUAUUAUGUUUUUACCAUUGAUAGUGUUUGCAAGGUACUGUAAUUGUUUAUUAUGUUUUUACCAUUGAUAGUGUUUGCAAGGUACUGUAAUUGCAAGUGCUUCUCAUCGUAUGUGCGCUUCCCUUGUCUUUUGUCAGAAUAAAUAACACCAAAGAACUGGGAUCACUGGCUGGGAAUGUGUUUAUUUACACAGCACAACACAAAAGAAUAUCU
rnacentral:lncRNA from 1 species